UACGUAGGGUGCAAGCGUUAAUCGGAAUUACUGGGCGUAAAGCGCGCGUAGGCGGCUUUUCAAGUCGAUUGUGAAAUCCCCGGGCUUAACCUGGGAACUGCAGUCGAGACUGUCUAGCUAGAGUAUGGGAGAGGGAAGUGGAAUUUCAGGUGUAGCGGUGAAAUGCGUAGAUAUCUGAAGGAACAUCAGUGGCGAAAGCGACUUCCUGGACCAAUACUGACGCUCAUGUGCGAAAGCGUGGGGAGCAAACAGGG
rnacentral:rRNA from 1 species